rnacentral:rRNA from 1 species
CUAUACAUGACUCUGCGCAUAUCAAUAAGCGGAGGAAAAGAAACUAACAAGGAUUCCCUUAGUAACGGCGAGUGAAGCGGGAAGAGCUCAAAUUUGAAAUCUUCAAGGUUUUACCUUGACGAAUUGUAGUUUAAAGAAGUGUUUUCUGUUGGAGUUUUGGUAAAAGUUCUUUGGAAUAGGACAUCAUAGAGGGUGAGAAUCCCGUAUUUGACCCUUAUUUCCAGCUGUGUGAUACACUUUCAAAGAGUCGGAUUGUUUGGGAAUGCAGUCCAAAAUGGGUGGUAAAUUUCAUCUAAAGCUAAAUAUUGGCGAGAGACCGAUAGCGAACAAGUACCGUGGGGGAAAGAUGAAAAGAACUUUGAAAGGAGAGUUAAACAGUACGUGAAAUUGUCAAAAGGGAAGCGUUUGACACCAGUGUUGUUCUCUCGAAAAUCAAUUAAAAAAGGCUUGAUUUUGUGUUGUUAAGACUUUAUCAGCUUACUGCACUUUUUUCAUGUCUUUUUUAAUGCACUUUUCGUUUAACAAGUCAACAUCAAUUUCUUUUGUUGUAAAAGGGUCAUUGGAAGGUGGCUUUCAUUUCGGUGAAAGUGUUUAUAGCCUUUGACCUCUGCAAUCGGAGAGAUUGAGGUCUGCAGCGUAGAUCCUUCGGGGUUAGAUACAUUUGUGCUAAGUUAUAGCUUUUCAUAGACUACUUGUUGACUAUGUUUAGUCUUGUAGCUUACUCGCUUAUGCUAUUUUACCUACGCUUAGGAUGUUGACGAGACUGUCGAUCUCGUCUAUACAUGACUCUGCGCAUAUCAAUAAGCGGAGGAAAGGCAUAAAGAUCAGACUACCUACGCUUAGGAUGUUGACGAGACUGUCGAUCUCAUCUAUACAUGACUCUGCGCAUAUCAAUAAGCGGAGGAAAAGCAUAACAUUAUACCUACGCUUAGGAUGUUGACGAGACUGUCGAUCUC